AAAAACUGUUUCAGCUGAUCUUGCUGCUGGUGGAAUUCGAACACUACCACAAAGAGAAGCUGAGGAAGAUCCAAAAAAAUUAGAGCGGCUAAGCAACAAAGAGUUGUUACUAGGGAACAUUGACUACGCAUUUGACUUGUUUCUGAUAUAUGUGCUCACAUUGUCUAUUUUCCCUGGAUUCUUAUCUGAAGAUACUGGAUCGCAUAGUUUGGGUGCAUGGUAUGCCUUGGUUUUGAUAGCAAUGUAUAAUGUGUGGGAUUUUAUUGGGAGAAGCAUUCAUCUCAUCAAAUCAUUGAAGCUGGAGUCACGAAAAGCUCUCACGUUAGCCAUUCUUUCUCGUUUCUUACUCAUUCCAGCAUUCUAUUUCACUGCCAAGUAUGCAGACCAGGGCUGGAUGAUAAUGCUAACAUCCUUGUUAGGAUUAACCAAUGGCUAUCUCACUGUCUGUGUGCUUACUUCUGCGCCAAAAGGUUACAAGGGACCAGAGCAAAAUGCAUUGGGAAAUUUGCUUACCUUGUUUCUUCUAGGUGGGAUAUUUGCUGGGGUUACACUUGACUGGUUGUGGCUGAUAGGCAAAGGAUGGUGACUUUCUUAGGAGAAAAAUAUUCCAUUUACAAUAUUGUAAUUUGUGAUUGAGAUGGUGAAAGAUAACCAAAGCCAUCUAUUUAAAGUUGGUGGAAUAAUAAUAAUUGAUACAAUGAAUCUGUUGCACAGUGUUCCUUGGAAAAUUACAGAGAAUCAAUAGAUUGCUUUCAUCAAUCUUUUGUAAAAUUUAGGUAAGAGGUAUCAAAACUUUUAGCUGUUUUGAUGGGAUUUAAUGCAGACUAAUUGAAAAUUGAUUUUGUAUAAAUCAUAUGCUUCAAAGUUCUAAAAUGGCCGAUUAGCAGAAUUCUAAAGAAGACAAUGAGCUUGGUGUCCUCAAAGGAAAGAUGUUAAUUCACAAUCAACUGAGCGAGGUUAUAACAAAUGAUUGCUUUUCAGCAUUUGGUGCUUUCUGCUAAAACCUACCUGCUACACACACUCCAUAGUCCAAUAAGGGAGUGGGUUGGGCUGCAAAGGCUUUAUUGUCUUUGUAUUUUGUCUUGGGUUGUUAGCGGUUUGCCUUCAAAUGGAACAUCCAUAGUUGAAAGAAAACGAUACAUGGCUAAGUUUCUCUCACUCUAAUAAUUGAAUCACUUUAGUACAUAUUAUAGAUAAUGCCAACAGGACAAGACCAAGUAUUACAAAAACUUAGGCCAAGUUUCCCAAAAACCACUCAAAUGAAUGAUGCUUGAUUUCCCAGCCUAUUUUCUGGGAUCGUACUCACCUGUCUUAUAAAUCUAAUCCAUAUGAUUACAGUUCAUACUUUUGCAGUGUUUUCUUGUAACUAAUUGUAGGAGCUGUUUGAAAGAAAGCAAUCAUGCCAACUCUUGAUGGAAGCAUAUCUCCUGCUAAGCUUGAGGUUUGCAAAUUGCAAUCAAUCCUAUUCAUUGCUUCAUCUGGGAAACUCUUACCUUUUCUCUUGAGCAAAUCUUAUCAUUGCCACAGGGAAAACGUGGUGCUAUGUUAUUAUGCUGGAUUCUUGGAAGUGGGUCCCUCUUGUCCUGGAAUAGUAUACUCACAAUUGAGGAUUAUUAUGGUUUCCUUUUCCUGAGAAUUUGGUGUCAUUAUUAUAGUUCCCAUAGAUGUCCUUGACUUGCCAAUGAAGUCACUGAAACACAGCCAAAGUUUAGUGGGACUUCUUCGUUGUUCUAUCAAUGGGUCACUUUGGCUCCUGCAAAUGUUGAUCUAGAGAAAGAUAGUUUCAUGCCAUUCUCAUGAUAUUUUUAAACAUUCGCGGCCCAUGAGGACAAACUCAAUAAUUUAUGUGUUCCUUUAAGGAUCAACAAGUUUGUUUAUAAAUUUUUUAUUUAUGAUGGGUGCAUUUAAUGUAUCUAAGUGGACAGUUAUCUCAAAUAAGAGGCGUCGUUAGCCCUUAAGGUGUUUGUUAAUUUGCCUGUAGUGAGGUUCUGGGUAUCUGAUUAUGGUUGCUGGAUUGCUUCAAGAUGCUAAAUUUGCGUUGGACUUCAUCUAUUUACUGUAUGACUUAACUUGAUGGGUGUUGUAAUUGUAGCUGCUGCUAAUGUGAUUUUGCAUAUCAGUACUAUUGAUGUUGUGCUGGGUGAUUGAAGAUCAUUUUUGUAUGCUGAUGUUCUAGUUCUAUUGCCAUUAAUGCUGGUAUAGUUUAAGUAUGUUGCAAUUGUUUUCUUUUUCUUUUUUUUCUGGUUGCUUUUUUAUUUUUAUUUUAAUGCAGAUAGCCAACCCAACUGGUUUGGGAUUAAAGCUUAGUUGAUGAUGUUGUUGUGUCUUUGCAAGAUUAUGCUUGUUUGGCCAUUAUUCUUUUGACCCAAAUGAAUAGUCCUUUGCCUAUUUUUUUGGGCUGUGUGUGCUAUGCCUCAGUUUCUAGUAAUUUUGUCGCGUGAAUGGUGAGGCUGGUUUCCAAUUUCAAAAGAUAGAAGCUUUUGGUUGUGUUGAUUUUAAUCCUGAGUGUUCUUAGUAGUUUUGAUAGUUUAUCAAUACGAAUCAUUUCUGUUGUUGGUCAAAACUAAACAAAAUAAAAAUAAAAAAUGUUAGCCAUCAACAGUGUUCCUUAAAUUUACAGCCUGGGGCAAUGAACUUCAUAUAUUCGAUGUUCUUAUGAUCCUAUCUAAACGAUGCCUACUGGUGUUCUAUUAAAUGGAAAUUAAUGCGACGGGUUGCUUUCUUCAAUGCAAAGCCAAUUUUGUUGGAUAUCACAUGGUUAAGGAAAUUAUGGGUUCAGCAAAAACAGUGAUGUUUUUGAAAUGUUUAAUUAUUAGUUCUGCAUAUUUUUGCAUUGAUAACAACAACAAUUUAGCCUUAAUCCCAAACUAAUUGGGAUCAAUUUUACGUAUCCUGUUUCAUCACUCAACUCUGUUUGAGACCAAUUAUAUAUUAAUAUUAAUACAAUAACAAAUCUUUUGAUACUUCUUCACUCCACGUCAUUUUAGGUACUCCCUUUCCCUUCAUUCUUUCCAUCACUAACUUAUCACAUUUUUGUAUUGAUACAUUCAAUGUUCUACAUUGGACAAGGCCCAUAUCAUCUUGAUCAACCCUCUUUCAUUUUAUGCCAAUGUGUGCUACAUGAUUGAAUGUGUUCAUUCUUAAUCUUACCUAUUAUCGUAAUACUAAACAUUCAUCUUAACAUCCAUCUGCCACACCCAAAUACAGUAAAUCUUAAAAUUUUCACUGCCUAAUUGAAUAUUUCACUUUCACUCCCCAAUAUGUGAUCCAAAAAACCUACAUUUCUUUCACUUUCUUCUCUUGCAGCAGGUUAAAAAAAUACAUUGCACGAUCAAAAAUUCUCUCAUUUCCAAAGUUGAAUUUACUUUCCUUUUCCCCUUUUUUACCGCAAUGCAGCUAACGAAAGAAACAUAAUGACCCAAAAUCCGCACAACCAAUAGCACUGAAGAGCAAACAGAAAUAUCCAAUUGAAUCUUAUCAACAAACACACAAUAAACCCCUCAAAGCACAUUACUACUUUUAUCUUUAAAAAAUUUCAUGCGAGAUCAACAUACCCCAUUUCAAAACCCAUGCUUAGCUUCACAUACGCUCACUAAAAACAGGAAAGAAAUAAAUACAACAAACAUAUCGAAACAGAAUCCAAAACGACAUGGAAAAAGCAGCAAACAGAAACUUUAACAGUUAAAAGUGCCUGAAUGUCCGUACAUUGUGUAGAUAUAACGUAAACUAAUAUUAGAAAAAAUACAAAAAAAAAAAAAGGAAAAUCACAUAAAUUUUCAAAACUCGAGUAUAUAAAGGAGAACGCAAUCAGAGAAAAUAAAAGCAAACUGAAAGAGGAACGGAGAAAACGAAGAAAAAAGGAACGGAUCUGAGAGGAAACACAGAGACCAGAAAUCAAAACGACAAUUUGAAAAAACAAAAACAGAAAUAAACAAGAAAAAAGGAGAAGUACCUGUGGAUAAUGGGAGAGGAAU
rnacentral:misc_RNA from 1 species